rnacentral:rRNA from 1 species
CACGUACGCUGGCGGCCGCCUAACACCUGCACGUCUAAACGAAGUAGCAUACUUAGUGGCAGACGGGUGAGUAACAUGUAUGUAUCUGCCCUUUGGCCUGGAAUAACACGAGGAAACUUGUGCUAAUACCGGAUAAGUCUUUACGGAGAAAGCUUUAUGCACCAUUGGAUGAGCCUGCACUUGAUUAGUUUGUUGGUGGGGUAAUGGCCUACCAAGACUGUGAUCAAUAGCUGAUUUGACGAGGAUGAUCAGCCACAUUGGGACUGGGACACGGCCCAAACUCCUACGGGAGGCACGCAGUGGGGAAUCUUGCACAAUGGAGGAAACUCUGAUGCAGCGAUGCCGCGUGAGUGAAGAAGUGCCCUUGGGUUGUAAAGCUCUUUCGAUCGGGGAAGAAAAUGACUGUACCCGAAUAAGAAGGUCCGGCUAACUUCGUGCCAGCAGCCGCGGUACAUACGAAGGGACCUAGCGUAGAUUCGGAAUUACUGGGCUUAAAAGAGUUCGUAGAGUGGCUUAGAAAAAACGAUUUAGUGGUGAACAUCCCAGAGCUUCAACAUCUGGAAACUGCCACUUAAAAACUUUUU